rnacentral:tRNA from 1 species
AAGGAUUUAAGUUAAUUAAACUAAUAGCCUUCAAAGCUAUCAUUAAAAUUUAUUUUAAGCCUUA